GGAAUCUUCCGCAAUGGGCGAAAGCCUGACGGAGCAAUGCCGCGUGAGUGAUGAAGGUUUUCGGAUCGUAAAGCUCUGUUGCCAGGGAAGAACGCUUGGGAGAGUAACUGCUCUCAAGGUGACGGUACCUGAGAAGAAAGCCCCGGCUAACUACGUGCCAGCAGCCGCGGUAAUACGUAGGGGGCAAGCGUUGUCCGGAAUUAUAGGGCGUAAAGCGCGCGCAGGCGGUCAUUUAAGUCUGGUGUUUAAUCCCGGGGCUCAACCCCGGAUCGCACUGGAAACUGGGUGACUUGAGUGCAGAAGAGGAGAGUGGAAUUCCACGUGUAGCGGUGAAAUGCGUAGAUAUGUGGAGGAACACCAGUGGCGAAGGCGACUCUCUGGGCUGUAACUGACGCUGAGGCGCGAAAGCGUGGGGAGCAAACAGGAUUAGAUACCCGAG
rnacentral:rRNA from 1 species